rnacentral:snRNA from 1 species
AUUGCUUCUCGGCCUUUUGGCUAAGAUCAAGUGU